UACGUAGGGUGCAAGCGUUGUCCGGAAUUAUUGGGCGUAAAGAGCUCGUAGGCGGUUUGUCGCGUCUGCUGUGAAAACUCGGGGCUUAACCCUGGGCCUGCAGUGGGUACGGGCAGACUAGAGUGCGGUAGGGGAGUCUGGAAUUCCUGGUGUAGCGGUGAAAUGCGCAGAUAUCAGGAGGAACACCGGUGGCGAAGGCGGGUCUCUGGGCCGUAACUGACGCUGAGGAGCGAAAGCGUGGGGAGCAAACAGG
rnacentral:rRNA from 1 species